UACGUAGGUGGCAAGCGUUGUCCGGAAUUAUUGGGCGUAAAGCGCGCGCAAGCGGUUCUUUAAGUCUGAUGUGAAAGCCCACGGCUCAACCGUGGAGGGUCAUUGGAAACUGGGGAACUUGAGUACAGAAGAGGAAAGCGGAAUUCCACGUGUAGCGGUGAAAUGCGCAGAUAUCAGGAAGAACACCAAUGGCGAAAGCAGCUUUCUGGGACGGUACUGACGCUGAGACGCGAAAGCGUGGGGAGCGAACAGG
rnacentral:rRNA from 1 species